GGGCUUGUGGGCCUUGGGCCCAAGCCCAACGUCCAUUAACUAAAACUCUAAAUAUAUAUAAUAAGUGUUGAACCUUAUCUUCGUUCAUUUUGAUACCAGACAACAAACACACACAUAUUCAUUGGCCCUCUCUCUCCCUCUCGACUAAACUCCGGCGACCGGAGCAGAAUCUGGCCGGCCGGUGCCGGUUUCCGGCACCUCACUCCCCUCACACAUACCCACUUCUCCUGGUCCUCUUUUUCUGAUGAACAGCGCCCGCGACAUGCCGGCUGGUGCUGGUCGUAUUCCGGCAGACCACUCGGGAAACCUCAUCACUUCGGCUCGGUUCUCAGGCGACAGACUCCCCCCCUCCGAUGAACAUCAGCAAUGGCAGCACUGGUAAACAACUCGGUCCGGCGGUCGGCGUCUUGACCUGGCGGUCAGAGACCCGGUCCGACGGUCGGCGUCAAGGACCGGCGGUCCUUGUCUUUAUCCGACAGGCUUCACCGGUGAUGAUGCUGAUGAGGUCAGCGGUGAUGGUGCUCGAUGAAAUCGCCGGCGACGGUUGUGGAGUCCGAAGACGAUAGGGGUGUCCGACUCGGGUUCAGCUCAGAUUCGGGUUCGGAAUUCGGGUCUCGGCUCAGAUCGGGUUCGAUUCGGUCAGAAUGGUCAAUUUCAGAUGUGGUUCGAGUCAACUCGGUCAACUCAGACAAUGCGAGUCAACUCAGCUCGGUGCGAGUCAACACAGCGGGUACGGGUCAGACGGUUCGGGUCACGGCUUCUGUUCACAUGUUCGGAUCAAGUUCAG